CGGACGGGUGAGUAAUGUCUGGGAAACUGCCUGAUGGAGGGGGAUAACUACUGGAAACGGUAGCUAAUACCGCAUAACGUCGCAAGACCAAAGAGGGGGACCUUCGGGCCUCUUGCCAUCGGAUGUGCCCAGAUGGGGUUAGCUAGUAGGUGGGGUAAAGGCUCACCUAGGCGACGAUCCCUAGCUGGUCUGAGAGGAUGACCAGCCACACUGGAACUGAGACACGGUCCAG
rnacentral:rRNA from 1 species